GACGAACCGAGCGAACGUUGUUCGGAAUCACUGGGCUUAAAGGGCGCGUAGGCGGGCAAGCAAGUCCGGGGUGAAAUCUUUCGGCUCAACCGGAAAAGUGCCUUGGAUACUGCUUGUCUCGAGGGAGGUAGGGGCCUGUGGAACUUCCGGUGUAGCGGUGGAAUGCGUAGAGAUCGGGAAGAACACCAGUGGCGAAGGCGACGUGCUGGGCUGCAACUGACGCUGAGAUGCGAAAGUGUGGGGAGCAAACGGG
rnacentral:rRNA from 1 species